rnacentral:rRNA from 1 species
GACGAACGCUGGCGGCGUGCUUAACACAUGCAAGUCGAACGGAAAGGCCCUGCGUUUGUGGGUUGCUCGAGUGGCGAACGGGUGAGUAACACGUGAGUAACCUGCCCUUGACUUUGGGAUAACUUCAGGAAACUGGGGCUAAUACCGGAUAGGAGCUCCUGCUGCAGGGUGGGGGUUGGAAAGUUUCGGCGGUUGGGGAUGGACUCGCGGCUUAUCAGCUUGUUGGUGGGGUAGUGGCUUACCAAGGCCUUGACGGGUAGCCGGCCUGAGAGGGUGACCGGCCACAUUGGGACUGAGAUACGGCCCAGACUCCUACGGGAGGCAGCAGUGGGGAAUAUUGCACGAUGGGCGGAAGCCUGAUGCAGCAACGCCGCGUGCGGGAUGACGGCCUUCGGGUUGUAAACCGCUUUCGCCUGUGACGAAGCGUGAGUGACGGUAAUGGGUAAAGAAGCACCGGCUAACUACGUG